rnacentral:piRNA from 1 species
CUUCCAGAGGCCCUGAGUUCUAUUCCCA